rnacentral:sRNA from 1 species
GUGAAUUAAUUCACAAACAAUUACCCCUUUGUUGAACGUGAAAAUUUCUCCCAUCCCCUUGAUGUCUUUAAGACAUCAAAAAGGACCCAGUUUUAACUGGGUCUUUUUUU